rnacentral:tRNA from 12 species
GCGGACGUGACGAAACUGGCAAACGUGUACGGCUUAGGACCGUAUGCCGUAAGGCUUGUGGGUUCGACUCCCACCGUCCGCACAA